AGUCCUGUAGCUCAGUCGGUUAGAGCCUGAAGCUUAUAGGUACAUUAUUAGUAUCUUCAAGGUCGGGGGUUCGAUCCCCCCCAGGACUA
rnacentral:tRNA from 1 species